GCCGGGCACCGGGGACAGGGCCCACCGGGACAGGGCCGGGCACCGGGGACACGCACAUCACGGGGCACGGCUCCGGGACUUGUGCAUGUCAGGCUCUCCCGGCCGUGUGCGGGGUAUGCGGCCGAAUGCCCGCUGGGCAAUUCCCUCGCUGCAGGGUUUCCUUUGGCCUCCUCCAGCAGCGCCGGGCACAACAGGUUUGCAGAGUGGGGAUCAGCCCAGCAGGCAAUUAUGCAGGAGAUAAUGUGUAAAGUAAAUAAUGACAGGACACUUUGCUGAUAAAUUAGGGCUGGGUUUUUACCCUGCUAGCCUAGGUCCCAUUUAAAGGCAAGCCUUUCCUCUUGUGCCCUCGGUGCCUUGAUGGUCUCAUGGUGCCAGUGAGGGCAGGAGCAGCGCCCCAGAGCAGGAGAGGAGCAAACGUGCCCGUCCAAGCCCCGACCUGGAGAGUGGUGAAGUGAUCCAAGACCAAAACCAGAUUAAAUCAAUUAUGCCCACCUUUGAGCUGUGGACUGGGAAAAACCCCAAAUCUGGUUCUCUUUCAGUUCCCACAGAGCUCAUAAAUUCACUUUUAAGCCUUCCCAGUGAAAAAAGAAACUGAUCCUUGUAUGGUGGAGAACUCGGGGGGGAUCCACAGGUGCCUAUCAGUGCACACAUAAAGUGAGAAAAAAUCCCUGAGGGUUGUUGCGGGACUCCAAGGAGUCCUGGAGCAAAUGUGUUCUGAAAACAUUCUGUGUUCUAGUGAAAUGUGUUCUAGUGAAACAUUCGAGCAAGUUGGCUUUGUGUCAUGUGAUGGAGGAGAUUUCUCCCAGGCCCAGUGUUUGAAAAUUUUGUCUUGGAUCAUUUUGUGUUUUAAGACUAAAUAACCUUGAUUACACAUUUCUAUUUCAGUAAUUACUGAAAAAGUCGUGGUUAUCAUAUAUUUAUGUCUUUGCAACCUGGAGGCUGGGAGGGACAAAGAGGGAGUCACUCACUGGCAAUAACUGUUGCACAUUUUCAGAACAUAAUGAAAAUUACUUUGGUCUUCUGCUUUUAAGAUGGACACCUGCUAGUAAACUGUAGGCAGACUGAUUAAACAGUGCUGCCAAGUCCAUACCUGGAGUAGGGAAUGCCUCUUCCUCACUCCUUCUGCAUUUAUGUGUUGGACUGGGACUGAAAAUACAUUUCACAGCUAAAAUUGAGAUGGCUAAGGUUGUACAAAUGGUUAUUUGUUAUUUCAGCUACUGGGUCCAUGGACACAUACAGUUAAAGUUCAAAAUCCAUGAAAAGACAUAUUCACAGGGUUUGUGAAAAAUGAGACGGUUUUCCUUCCCUUAAUGACAGGGAUCUCAAAUGAGUUGGGUUGUCAAUGGGAGAGCAAGAGGUUAUAUAGUUUUCCAUAAUCUAUAAAGCUUCUUCAGAAUCAUGUCAUUAGCUUUCCUGUGGUAGAGCACAGCAGAGCUAAUAAUGCAAUUAUGGUUCAUGUAGUUAAACUAUGCUACUGAUAUUUUUUUUUCCCAGGAGGCCUUCAUUUCUGGCAAUUCUAAUCAUCUUCAUUGUACAGCUGUAUGGAUUCCAUGUUUCACUCUGAGGGAAAUAAAAUUGCAAAUAAAUACCAUCCUUCCUAAUGUCUCUGUAAAUGCCAGAUUUAGUAACCAUUAACCAAAUGUUGGAGUUCAUAAAAUGUAAUGUAUAGUUCUGUGUGUGUAUAUAUAUAUAUACACACACACAUAUAUAUAUAUAUAUAUAUGCCACACUCAUAUACUAGUCACUAGAACGAACUAUUGUGCCAGAAUAAACAAGAGUAGAAUUUCUCCCAGUAUUUCAUUAUUCUCAUUUCUUGCUGCUAUAAUUAAUACAUUUUCUGUUUUUGACAUGCUAAGUUUCUCCCUGGCUUUCUCCCUGCCUGUAUUCAAAUCGUAUAAUUACUACAUUAAAAUGGUGUGUGUGUGUUUAGCAGGAGGGGGAUUCUUUUUUUUAACUUCCCAUUGUUUUGAACAAAUUUGAAACUUGGAGUUCUGUAUUUGGUUACCUGAUGCUCAAGAAAUAGGAGAGCUGGUGAGUCUAUUAUUAAGCAUUAUUUUAGUACUCCUAUUAAUGAUAAAUUACUUUAAAAAAUCUAUCUGCCAGUCCCCACUAGAACAAAAAUAUCAAUCCUGAGAUAUUGAAACCCUAAUUAAAAAACAUAAAAUAUGAAAUAAGGAUAUUUCCUGCUUCUGUGGUUUCAGUCUUCCAUGAUUCAGAUUCUUCUGAGAAGAUAAAAUUUUAGAGCAGUGAAUCUCUGAAAGCACUGCCCUGUUUUCUUCUGUAGAGAGGAAAGUUUCUCUAAACUUCUAUAUUUUUCUGAGUAAACUACCAAACACAUUACAAAGCCUUUCAAAAAGAUGCACAAUAAAGUGAUGAUAAGGCAUGUUAAUAAUUCUGCUGACAAUCAUCCUUCAUGCCUGGGACAUAAACAGUAGGAAAUAAAUACCGUCAAUAAUUGCUAUUAGGCACCUGAAGAAAAAACAAAGAUAUGAGAGGGACAUGCUAAUUAGGCUUCCUCGAUGGACCACAUGGAGAUGAAAAGGAGAUGAAAAUCAAAAUAAAGCAAGCAAAGCUGAAGUAUUUAGACAGCCUUGCAGGAAGUUGUUGUCUAUGACAAUGAACUGUCCAUGGUUGUAAAGCCCUUAGAGACAAUAUCUCAGACAGUAGCUGUCAUUUUCCUGCAUACAUCAGAGGCAGGGUAGCACCAGGGUGUCACUUUGGGAUCUCGUGGGAUAUACAACAGAACUCAUCAAUCCUAAGGGAGCUGAGAUGCGGAGACAGCAGGACCAAAUCCCUACCAGAGCAUCUUUUUAUGGGAAGAAAGCAGCUCCUGCCAUUCCCCUCUCUGUGAGUGCUGAGAGAGGAACUGUGCAGCCAUGGCAGGUUGGUUAGAGAAGUUCACAUGGCUUUUCCAUUACAGCACAUACUUUUAAGUUGUUCACCUAUUUCUACAAAUCCUGUUCUUGGUAAUUGUCUUUCUGUUACACAGUAACUGUCUUGGCUUCUGUACAUCUGUAAAACAUUGAAAAUGUUCAGCCUGGGAGUUUGAAAGCAAAAUGCUGUCAAGACAUACUAAUUAGAAAAAUUGUGCACACACAACCUCCUAGUGUUCACUUUUGCUCUCAUUUGUUUUACAGAUGGUGCUAGGUCAAAGAAGCAGCCUGUCUUUGCAGGACAAGCAAUUCUGAAGUUCUGAGCAACUCUACAUUUUCAUGCAUGCACAAGUUUUCUCCUUAGCUUUUUUUGCUUACCUAAUCACACUGGUGAUUUGCUAGUAUUUCCCUCUUCUCUCUUACUUCAUAUAACAGGCAAUCUGCAAAGUGAUUUGCAGGAAUCGAAAGUACAAAUUUGUUGCUUUCAGGAUCAAGAAUAAAUGGAAAAACUUGUGA